rnacentral:rRNA from 1 species
UCGAGUGGCGGACGGGUGAGUAACGCGUGGGUAACCUGCCUUACACAGGGGGAUAACACCUGGAAACAGGUGCUAAUACCGCAUAAGCGCACAGGGCCGCAUGGCCCGGUGUGAAAAACUCCGGUGGUGUAAGAUGGACCCGCGUCUGAUUAGCUUGUUGGCGGGGUAGAGGCCCACCAAGGCGACGAUCAGUAGCCGGCCUGAGAGGGUGGACGGCCACAUUGGGACUGAGACACGGCCCAAACUCCUACGGAAGGCAGCAG